GCUUUACUGUAGUUUGGAAUUGGGUUUAGGUCUAUUUUGCGCAGUAUAGGUGGUAGGCUAAGAGUAUAUACUUGUGGGUGUAUAGGAGCCAUCAGUGAGAUACCACUCUAAUUAGAUUAGAAUUCUAACCUUGAUUGCCAUUAACCGGCCAAGGAACAGUUUCAGAUAGGCAGUUUGACUGGGGCGGUCGCCUCCUAAAAGGUAACGGAGGCGCGCAAAGGUUCCUUCAGACUGGUCGGAAAUCAGUUGUAGAGUGUAAAGGUAUAAAGGAGCUUGACUGCGAGACUUACAAGUCGAGCAGAGACGAAAGUCGGCCUUAGUGAUCCGACAGUGCUGAGUGGAAAGGCUGUCGCUCAAAGGAUAAAAGUUA
rnacentral:rRNA from 1 species